rfam:Spinacia oleracea cultivar SynViroflay scaffold13998.con0005.1, whole genome shotgun sequence.
AAACCAUGGUGUGGGCACUCUCUCUGUAGAUUCUUGAACCUUUCCCAUACCUCGAACAAACUCUCAUCUGCUUGUUGACUAAUAGAAAUGAUUUAGCUCCUCAGACG